UACGUAGGGGGCGAGCGUUGUCCGGAUUUAUUGGGCGUAAAGAGCUCGUAGGCGGUUCGGUAAGUCGGAUGUGAAAUCUCCACGCUCAACGUGGAGGGGCCAUUCGAUACUGCCGUGACUCGAGUCCGGUAGGGGAGUGUGGAAUUCCCGGUGUAGCGGUGAAAUGCGCAGAGAUCAUGAGGAAGACCAGUGGCGAAGGCGGGUCUCUGGACAGUUCCUGACACUGAGGCACGAAGGCCAGGGGAGCAAACGGG
rnacentral:rRNA from 1 species